AGUGAACGCUGGCGGUAGGCCUAACACAUGCAAGUCGAACGGCAGCACAGUAAGAGCUUGCUCUUACGGGUGGCGAGUGGCGGACGGGUGAGGAAUACAUCGGAAUCUACUUUUUCGUGGGGGAUAACGUAGGGAAACUUACGCUAAAACCGCAUACGACCUACGGGUGAAAGCAGGGGAUCUUCGGACCUUGCGCGAUUGAAUGAGCCGAUGUCGGAUUAGCUAGUUGGCGGGGUAAAGGCCCACCAAGGCGACGAUCCGUAGCUGGUCUGAGGGGAUGAUCAGCCACACUGGAACUGAGACACGGUCCAGACUCCUACGGGAGGCAGCAGUGGGGAAUAUUGGACAAUGGGCGCAAGCCUGAUCCAGCCAUACCGCGUGGGUGAAGAAGGCCUUCGGGUUGUAAAGCCCUUUUGUUGGGAAAGAAAAGCAGCAGGUUAAUACCCCGCUGUUCUGACGGUACCCAAAGAAUAAGCACCGGCUAACUUCGUG
rnacentral:rRNA from 1 species